GGGGGCGACUGGUUUCGACAUGGUAAGUCGGAUUCGAAGAGCAGGUCGUGGUCUCCUCGCCACGUUAAACAGGGGUAUCGUCAAGUUAAUUGGCAAAUCUUACAACAACAACCUCGCUCUCGCUGCUUAAUCGCAGCUCGAGGUGCCUAACCGAGGGUUUUCCUCGCUUUCGGGGUGGUAUCAUUUUGAGAGGAAUGCUUCUUGAUACGUAGCUGGUAUGAUCAAGAAAAAGACUGAACCCGCUAGGUUGUUCUGUGGCCUGUCAAUGGGCUGGGGGCAAUCGAAAGGUAAACAUUGACUAAGCUUGUAGUGCUUUGCUGAUGAUUUAGUAUGGACCGGAGUUCGAUUCUCCGCGCCUCCACCA
rnacentral:tmRNA from 1 species